CAUCCUGUCUACUCACUUGUGUACACAGUGUACCCUUUCACUGACCUAAUAAACAGUCCUAUUUAAUUUUCCAUACUGCCAUUGAAAAAAAAGGAAUAAAACGCUCUGGGCAGGACAUCUGGUAGCUGCGUCAAAAGGAGGUCGUUUACGGUAAAAACGUCGCCCAUUACCAUGUGAUUUCACCGAUGUUUGUAAACAUGCGUCAGCCACAUGUGAUUCUGGCGAUGAGGAAAGACUCUCCAGCCGCCUGGCCAACCAGCGGCCGGGGGAGUGUCAGGGGCGGGGUUCCCGUGUUGCGCUAUGGAAAAUCAUUAGGGGGAUACACAGUGAUAAACGUGCGCUCCCAGAUUGAUAAUAACGACAAAAAGGCUGAAACGGGAACUUGAUGUACGGACCAUUCACUGAGGACCGGAUCUGAGUCACGCCGGUCGGGAAAACAUCUGAGACCGCCUCAGCACCGGAGAGAAACAUGCCUGGGAUAAACACACCCUGUAAUGCACACCUGCCACAGCACAAUAGGACGCCGCCACGCCUGAUGUGAUGACACUGUUGCUGUUGACACCAAGGUCGCUGGCCUCUUGUACCUUCCUAAUGAUCCUAGCGAAGGAAGGCCUCCUGCUGCUUAACCUGCCAGAGGGACGGGAGAUAAAGUGCGUCCUCGCCUCUCCCAGCUUCUGAGGUGAAAAUGAGACACACAGGAGGAGCGAGCUCCUUCCUGCCAAGUGGAUUUGUUCGGUCAAUGGGUGAAUCAGCAGCAGACCUCAUGAGUUGCUAAACCACUGGCAAGGAAAUGGAAAGAGAGAGCGACAGAGAGAGAGGAGAGAAGGGGAGGGGAGGGAGAGGGGAGCUUUAGAACUUUAAUUAUGUGUACUGAAUAGAAACUUGACUCCCGAGGGAAUGUCACUAUGGUAGUUUUGAAACAAACAGGUAAAGGUCAUGGGAGGAAGUACGGGCCGAUCACUGAGAGAGCAUAACUUCCCUAUUUGCAUCAUUCUGUAAAAUUUGAAACGCAAACAUCGACCUCGUAUCAGAUGUUUCUCAGGAUAUUUUUGUGACGGACUGAAUAUCGUGUCCUGUGCGGUCGUGAUGUUUACCAUGCCUUCUGAGGCUGACCGGCAGAACAAGUGACCCACUUUCACAGACAAGAAAACGUGACCUCAAUAGUUAUUUUGCCAUUCUUUCAGGGAGGGGCGCUGCCUCUCAAGUCAAACAAACACAAGAGCCCAGCACAAGUGGGCUAAAUGCGAUGUGUUCAACCUAGUUUUAUUCAGAGUUCCUGGAGACAUUUCACAAUGACGCUGUUAUUGAGUACUAAAAAAAAACAUCCCUGCUUUUUCAGCUCAGGCAAAUGCAAUUCAGCAGAUGCCGGCGGGGCCAAAACUAGACGCAGCAAACAGCCACUUUUAAACCCCGAGGGGUGGCGGUAUGAAUCUACUGAUAGAUGUGUUUACAGCAGGGGGCCAGCGUCACCUGUAGCCCACAUAAAACUUCAGAGAAAACGCUGAGCGACCCACAGCCUUUUAAAAUAAAUCCCUCCCACACACAGAUUAUGGAAUAGGCGGUGGCACGGAGCCAAGAGAUGACAGUGCUAAAAUUAAACCCGGAGCACUGCCGGCCUCGCUAGAUGAUGAUGCAUUAAUAGACAAGUGUGAGGCAGCAUUCAUUUGCAGGUAUCAUUAGCAGCUAACGUGCUGCAAAAUGAGGGGAAAAAACUGCUGUGCUGAAACCCAGGAGGCACCUCUCCUUACUGCUAUUAUUAAUAGCCCUUAUUUUUCUCCGUGCAGACGUACGGAGCGAGCUCUGUAAAUAUUUCUUUAAGAUAUACAGUGCAUUGGACGGGUGAAAUAGUGAGAUAGCUGUAGUGUUUUUGUCCAGAACGACUGCUAAUCAAUAAGAAACACCGGCCAGGUUUUUCUCUGUCUUCCAGGAAACCCGAUCCGCUUCGACCAGACAACCUGCAGGCGCAUUUUGAAUCUUUAUGUUCGCUUUUAUCUCGAGUUAUUUAACCCAUAAAGCCACUCUUGUUAUCAGCCAGACAUCUGAUAUUUCCCAACAGGCUGAGUGGGAGCCAGAAGAGGGUGACAAAGUGUAAAUCAACUCUUCCAUCUGCGGCCUUCCCGUCUAUUUCCACCCAUCGUGCAGCGGAUAGAACAAACAACGUGUCAGGCUCAUCUGAACGUGUUAGGGCUCUCGAGCCUCCACACAUUUCGCAAUUUGUUGCUCCGAAGAGGAGAUGAUGCAAUGGAGGAGAUUUUUCGAGCUAUUACACGAUCCAAACACAAUUGGUACAUUUAGGACAUUGUUUGUGCUGGCAGGAAGUGAAGUCUCUAACAUCUUUGAGCUCUGAUUGGUCCUGUCAAGUAUCAAUAACGACUUUAAAAACAUUCCUUAAAUCAAAGUAGCAUAGAAAGACAAUAUUCAGAGAAUCUUAAGCUGAGACAUGCUGCAUUUUUCCCUGAUUGCGCAAAUGUAGAGAGGUGGUUUAAAACAUAUUACCCCGAUGAGUUUGCCCCUCUCACUCCUGAUAAAUUAGGACCUCUAAUCUGUAAGAGGAUUAACCACCUACCCUGUUUACACAUGCACACAACCACACCCCCCACUGUUACGCACACGGCCAUUCAGUGUUCACUUUACGUCACCUACUCCAGCAUGACCCAACCCAGCUGCUCUGCCUGUGACACAGUUUGGCCUCGAACAGUCUGCCCUGCCUAAAACACAGGGCUUGUCUCACUUCUGUAAACCAAACGGAUGCUUUAUUUUAUAUCAUCUUAAAUCAGAAAGCAGGAACAGAUGCAAUAAAAAAGUUGACGAAUCAGUUAUGCUAAAGAUGGACAGUGCACGCAGUUUGAUACAGUGGCUCUCGAUGAAACCAACAGCUGCUUAAUUCAUUUAUGUUUUGGUUUUAAAAAGGGGCCGAUGCGCCUUUAACAAGCAGUAGAUGUCAGGUGACUCGGCAGGAUGAAAAAAUAAAAAAGCUUCGAUGCAGAAAGCAGCCUCUGCUCACACAAUAGUCGGCAAAAAGAGCUUGUAGUAAAAAGAGCAAGGGAGAGGUAGAUAGAGAGUUCACAAAUAGCUGCGUUACAUGGGAGGGGUCAGAAUAGCAAAAACAAGGAGAGGACGGAUGAAAGCGGUGUUGCGGCCUUCGCACUACACUGUCUGCCUGAGUUAUUCUGGAAGCUGACACUGUAUUCUUGUAAUCACUGGGAGCGCUUGUCGAAAUCGAGGAUAUUUUAAUCUUUUGUCUGGGUCAAAGUACACGGCCGUAACACAAUGAUGGCCAUUAUGCACUGAUUCGAUUAUCAAUAUCGGAAAUAUAACUCAUCAGCACAACUGCUGUUUUUUUUAAGAAGCCAAAACACUAAAGUAGCAGUGGAGAGGAUUAGGGAGUGACAGACAGGGAAACUGUCCCCGAAAGACACAUGAAGGUUUUGGAUUAGUUGCUACGUCACCUUUUCCCAUCAACAGGACAACAGCGUCUGAGACACUGACAAGGCAGAUAACGCCGGUCUUUUAAUGCCAGACCUACAAAUAGAACCCAGUGAGUUUUCCACGAUAAUUGUCUCGGUAUUGUGCUGUCAUUUCAAAAGAAAAAGGGAACAGUAGCACUGACAGGAGACGUCUCAAAUGAGCUCUCUAUCGAUACACUGCACCGCAUGCCUUUUAGCAACGGCCAACGGGGGUUUGUACUAAUGAAUGCGUACCUAUUUCAGAGGCCUGGUUUUUGCCAUCUUGCACCACAGUCUACCCCACUUGGACCAGGAGCCGGACUGGAUGCCUGAGGCCGACCCAGGAGAGGACACAGUAUCCUAUUGUGCAGUACAAAGAAGUCUGCAGGGAGCUGCGGAGAUCUAUUUUUCCACAGUAUGAUUCAUAGAGUUUUUGUUGGGGUUCAUCUCUGGUGCCAGCCGGCUGCCGUGCCCUUUCUUACACUCAGAUCUUCGUCAUCUGAUGCACUUAUAAUGCUAGGAAUUGAGCUGCAGUGUCACUCUUAGAGGAACUGGCCAUGACUCAGUGGUUCUUCCCUGUGGUCACGGUGCCAGCAAAGCAUCUGCAUCUUACUGAGUUUCUGGUUGCACUUCGCUCUCUGCGGAGAGAGCCAAAAUACAGCUUAAAUAUUUGGAAAUAUCUCAAAUUGAUCAACCCAUAGACCAAACUAUGCUGCAUUCAUAGUCAGUAAAAUGUUUGUGCAAAUAUUUCACCUCAGCAUGUGCGACCAAACAGGUGGGUAUUCUGUUUCCAUUUAAAUAACCCAAAGUCGAGAUGAUAGUGAUAAAACCUUCUUUUUUCCAUCUCAACAGCAGGGCAGCAUUUCAAAUAAACUGCAGAGGUUUACAUGGGCAAAAAGAAGAUUGCAGUGCAUGUCUAAGAAAUCAGACAUCCCUAUCAAAUAACCACGAGAAGAACAAAUCUGUGCCCUAAGGAGCUGGAAUUUUAUUACCUCCGUAAAUGCAGCCAGAGCAAAAACAAAUCGGUUAUUUAACUAACUGCCUGCGUAGCAAUGUUUUCCGUCUUGGUCCAUUUGUCCAGAGUGUGCUAUUACCAUCCCGUGUCCAUGUCUGUUUAUCUUUAUUGAAAUAAUAUUCUUGCAGAUGGCCAAUCUAUAAAGAAAGUAUCCUCUAAAACACGUCCAUCCUUACAAGCAAAGCAGUGAGUAUAUUAAAGAGUUCGGAAAGGAGCAUCUGUCUAAUGGAGAAUUAAAUUAGUAUGAAUUUAAUGCUAUUCCCUCACACAUGGAUGUACCACUGUGUGCCCAGUAAUAAGAUGAGCCACUUUAAUUAAUGGUAUUACAGUAAUUUAGGUGGCAAAAUGUGUUCAACAUGUUGACUGAUUUCAUUGUCUUAAUCUGAUAGCGAAAGCGAGCGUGGCAGAGAUCCAUGUCUGACUGUGCGUCUUAGCUCACAUAAUGCAAAUCAGUUAUUAAAAAUGUGUUUAGAAGUGAUGACAGUAAUGUUUUUUUGUUCUAAUUACAGAAGGGGGACUUGGCAUCCGAAUGUGGGUUUUAUUAAAGGCAUCCUCCCCAGGGAACUGGUUUCAGAUGGUGUCUUAGAGUAUAAAAUCCCAUCUAGCACCAUUUGAAAUCGGUGUUCUUGAGCGGGAACAGACUUCAGGCAUGACGACAGUGACAUUUCAAUUCGGAGGCAGUUUUUGCAUCCAAUUUUUUACCAUCUAUUCCAGAUUUCAGUCGAGUUAAUCAGUUAAUACAUGUGCCUAUUGGUUUUCUGGAUCAGAUCUCGAUACGGCUCACGCUCCAGUGACGAAGAGAAAAGACAGCCUUGGAUAAUUGCAGUCUUCUUACCAGCUGCAUGGCCACCCUCUUAACCAAGGCUGACCGUUUUCGUCUGGUGUUCAGAGUUUCCAUCAUGUCUAGCACCAUUUGAAAUCGGUUACAAUGUGGAGGGACUAUCAACAAAGCUCUUGCUCCCGCAGCUGCAUAAAGAGUUCCCCAAAAGGUCCACAAGAUGGCAGCAUUGCACUGCCAUCCAUGCUAUUAUUCAACAGUAUCAAGUCUUUUUUGUGGUCUUCAGAAUCACUGAAGCAGUGAAGGUUUUUCUGGAUGACCCUGCUCAGGUUCGUGACCUGUUCCUUUGAGUUCUUUUUUGUUGGUCUGUUUGCUCUUUUUCAGAGUCCAGUUUCUUCUGUAAAUCAUGUUGCCGUCACUCAGCCGUGCUGUGUUCAAGUUCCAGCCACGGAUAUCUUAUCCUGUUCGUUUUCUCCAGGGACAGAUGAUAAACAGAGAUUAUCAGGUUAAAUGCUUCAGUAGUUCGAAAGGUUGUGUGUCUGCCCACUGCAGAGCUGUUAAAUUAUGUGAGUUUUUUCUUAUAUUUAAAUAUAAAAAUAGUCCACAUUUUUCUGUAAAAUGAACAUACUGUUAUUUCCAUUAAUAAAGCAAAACUGGUUCAAUUAAAAGUUGCAUUGUUUUUUUGCAAAGUCUCAUUAUAGGAAGCAGUUCAGACCUGACCCUGAUUCUGUAAUUAUAUUAUUUUAAUAAAACUGUGAAAAAAUUA